rnacentral:tRNA from 1 species
GCAUGUGUGGCCGAGUGGUUAAGGCGUUGCGAGCUAGGUCGCAAAGGGACUUCCGCGCAGUUCGAAUCCUGUCACAUGCA